GACGAACGCUGGCGGCGUGCUUAACACAUGCAAGUCGAACGGAGAUUCAGCAAUGGAUCUUAGUGGCGAACGGGUGAGUAACGCGUAGGCAAUCUGCCUUCUAGAUGGGGACAACAUCCCGAAAGGGGUGCUAAUACCGAAUGUCGUAGCGACUUCGCAUGAAGUUGUUACUAAAGGUGGCCUCUGAAUAUGCUACCGCUAGAAGAUGAGCCUGCGUCUGAUUAGCUAGUUGGAGGGGUAACGGCCCACCAAGGCUUCGAUCAGUAGCCGGUCUGAGAGGAUGAACGGCCACACUGGGACUGAGACACGGCCCAGACUCCUACGGGAGGCAGCAGUGGGGAAUCUUCCGCAAUGGACGAAAGUCUGACGGAGCAACGCCGCGUGAGUGAAGAAGGUUUUCGGAUCGUAAAGCUCUUUCGUCAGGGACGAAUGUGUUUCUUGUAAAUAAUGAGAGACAGUGACGGUACCCGAAUAAGAAGCCACGGCUAACUACGUGCCAGCAGCCGCGGUAAUACGUAGGCGGCAAGCGUUGUCCGGAAUUAUUGGGCGUAAAGCGCGCGCAGGCGGGAUAUCAAGUCUGUCUUAAAAGUGUGAGGCUCAACCUCGUGAGGGGACAGAAACUGGUAUUCUUGAGUGUCGGAGAGGAAAGUGGAAUUCCAAGUGUAGCGGUGAAAUGCGUAGAGAUUUGGAAGAACACCAGUGGCGAAG
rnacentral:rRNA from 1 species